rnacentral:tRNA from 1 species
GGGGGUUUAGCUCAGUGGUAGAGCGCUUGCCUAGCAAGUGCAAUGCCCUGGGUUCAGUCCCCA